GCAAAUUACCCAAUCCUAAUACAGGGAGGUAGUGACAAGAAAUAACAAUACAGGACUUUUUGGUUUUGUAAUUGGAAUGAGUUAAGUAUAAACCCCUUUACAAGUAUCAAUUGGAGGGCAAGUCUGGUGCCAGCAGCCGCGGUAAUUCCAGCUCCAAUAGCGUAUAUUAAAGUUGUUGCAGUUAAAAAGCUCGUAGUUGGAUUUCUGUUAAUAAUUUAUAUAAAAUAUUUUGAUGAAUAUUUAUAUAAUAUUAACAUAAUUCAUAUUACUAUUUUUUUUUUUAGUAUAUGAAAUUUUACUUUGAGAAAAUUAGAGUGCUUAAAGCAGGCAUAUGCCUUGAAUACUCCAGCAUGGAAUAAUAUUAAAGAUUUUUAUCUUUUUUAUUGGUUCUAAGAUAAGAAUAAUGAUUAAUAGGGACAGUUGGGGGCAUUUGUAUUUAACAGUCAGAGGUGAAAUUCUUAGAUUUGUUAAAG
rnacentral:rRNA from 1 species